CGUUUUAUCUGAAACGACAGAUUUUUAUAUAGAAAACAUGUGAAUUCCGUCGCCAGUCAUUUCCAGUUCUUCUUUGAACAAUAGAAAGUUGAUGGUUUAAAAGUUUAAUUCGUCAGUGCUGCCCCAUCACUAAAUUCUGUAAAAAUAAUAGAAUGGGUACCGAGAUAAACCCUACCCCCGAGAUAUUGUAUAUGUGAGUAUGCAGAUUAUGAAUAGGGGGCCCAAUUGAAGAUUGC